UAGCCUUGACAUUGAUUGAACACACUAGAGAUAGAGUGGUGCCCUUCGGGGAACAUGAAAACAGGUGCUGCACGGCUGUCGUCAGCUCGUGUCGUGAGAUGUUGGGUUAAGUCCCGCAACGAGCGCAACCCUCGUCCUUAGUUGCUAGCAGUUCGGCUGAGCACUCUAAGGAGACUGCCUUCGCAAGGAGGAGGAAGGUGAGGACGACGUCAAGUCAUCAUGGCCCUUAUGGCUAGGGCUACACACGUGCUACAAUGGGGCGUACAGAGUGUUGCGAUACCGCGAGGUGGAGCUAAUCACUUAAAGCGUCUCUCAGUUCGGAUUGGAGUCUGCAACUCGACUCCAUGAAGCUGGAAUCACUAGUAAUCGUAGAUCAGCAAUGCUACGGUGAAUACGUUCCCGGGUCU
rnacentral:rRNA from 1 species